GUUCUGAAGAACCCCAUAUACAUGGUGUGAACCUUACACGUGAAGGUUCAUGUUUUUUAUCCCUUGGUUUUUUCUCUUACUCGUUAUGCAUCAGGGCAUCACCAGUCGGUCGUCGCUGUCUCUCGCUGGUUCUCCAUCCCAUCCAGAUCCCACCGCCCGCAGCCCUUCCCCUACUCAACGAGGCAUCUCUCCCUCCUUUUCCCGGCGAGCCGCACCGCCCCCAUCCCCAUCUCGGUGCUCCUCAUUCCUUUAUCAUGCUACCCAACGGGCUCCCUCCCUCUUCUGCUACACGAAUACCGGCGAGAUCCGAGAGACGGGGCACUGUAGAUAUCGUCAUCAACCUCUGUGCCUUGUGCGGAACGUCCCUUCCCACCUCGUGCUCCUCCAACCGUCCCUUUCUCGAGCUUAUUGUUGCCGUCGUAGUGCAGCUGCAUCUGAUGUCCACACCAUGUAUAUGGGGUUCUUCAGAACCAUAUACAUGGUGUGAACCUUUCUCUGUUCCAUCUCCCUAUCUUUCUCCCAAAAAACAAUAAUGUGCAGCUGCAUCUGAUGUCCGAGAUCACUGAGGUCCGAGGGGGAGGGGCCGUUCCGUGCUUGCGCCCCGGUACACAGCUCAGUGCGUGGGGAAGCCCCUGUUUUCUGGGUCGGAGCUGUUGGAUGAGAACGCAGCUGUAUUUUUUCUUCUUAUGCAGCUCGACUGAUGUCUCAUAUGGCAGAUGUGUUUUUCAUUUGUACAGAAGCCCCGUGGAGCAUGGAAGGCAAGCUGGAGAUGCAUAUCUCCCUCGACCUUACGCGGAGGGCAGCAACUAGAGGUUCAAACCACUCAAAACAUGUGAGAUUUGAGCGUAAUAAUGGGAUUCACCAGCGUCACAGCAGCACUGGCAUGGAUGAUGCCAGCUGUUGUGGCAACCAGCCCAGGAGUGAGCUCGCGCUGCAUGCACGCCAGUGGCCAGCACGACUACUACCUCAUCUCCCUCCUGCAUGAGGGGACAGCUUAUUAUUCACGACUCCGCUCCUCUCUUUCCCUUCCCUCUCUCUUUUUUUUGGUGACUUUGCAUCAGUAGUGCAUGGAUUGGAUGUGGUCUAGUAUUAAUGGUUUUAGUGUGCAGGAACAGUUCAACUUGAACUUGGAUUUGAUCUUAGUGAUUUUGGGCCUGUUGUGCAAUAAGUAUCAUGGAAACUUGCGCACAUGACUAGCGUUCAUUUGUUCUUGUCCUUUUCUAUAUGAAGUAAGCAAAUCAAUUUGUCUCC